UUUGUCAGUGGAUUAGACCGUACUGCUGUAACAUAUUGUACCAACUGGCGAUUGUAGACAGCUUUUAAGUGCACUAAAAAGGUGCAAUACAAUUUUUAGUAAGUACUUACAAUACAGAAACAUCUAAUGUAUACCGGAGUUUAGUAACUUUUCCUAUUAUUAUUAACAUUAUUACGGAGGUAUCCAGUAGAAUAUAAUCGAGUGUAUUUUGCACAUCAGUUUUUAUGUACUACAUACAAUUCCUGGGUUUUUCGAAAAGAUACGGUACACGUUUUCGCCAACAGCUGAAAGAAACGUAACUUGUCGCAAUGCCCCAAAAGCCACAAGUGUCAGGAUGUGAUCUCUGCAGUAAUAAAACCGAACGGUAAUUCCUGUGAAUCGUCUCCACGAGUUAACAGUCUCCAUCCGGGAAGCACACUAACGUUUGGACAAAUUUUACAUUCCCCCGGUGGAUCAGUCGAACUAUCAAUAGACAAAGAUGGGAAUCUGGCUGUUUAUCGGACCAUCGAUCGCGUGCAAUUAUGGACUUCUGGUACAGAGGGAAAAUUUACCCCAGGAAUCCAUGCUAUCCUGUUCUCGAACGGGAACUUCGUUCUAAGAGCAGAAAGUGGACAUGUCUGGUGGCAUUCGGGAACGCGGAAUUUGAAAGAUCCUUGGUUGACGGUGCAGGACACCGGUUUUAUGGUUAUUCACGAUGGCUGUGAUCCCGUACCAAAGUGGACAACCGAAACCCAUAACGGGAUAAAAACCCAUAUGAACAAACCAGUCUAAAAUGCCUCAAUCAAGAUAAGCCCCAUUAAUAGCAAGAAUAAAGGCAGAAUGAAUUGUUUAAAUGAAAACGAUCCAUAAUAAUUAUUAUACUGUACAAUUCCUCAGUUACCGAAGGGCCAUGAGUAUCGAAUUCUUCAGAAACAUUAUUAAGCUAUAAAUUUAACUUACAUUAUUGAACUACAAAUUUUAUAGCAAGCACUUAUACUAAACGCUUAUAGCGCUUACGCUUGUAUUUACUGGUCUACAGUUUACACACAGUGUUUAAAACGAAAUUAACUAGUACUAAAUACCAUACACUCGUAUUAACACAAAA